UACGUAGGGUGCAAGCGUUGUCCGGAAUUAUUGGGCGUAAAGAGCUCGUAGGCGGUCUGUCGCGUCUGCUGUGAAAACUCAGGGCUUAACCCUGAGCUUGCAGUGGGUACGGGCAGACUAGAGUGCGGUAGGGGAGACUGGAAUUCCUGGUGUAGCGGUGAAAUGCGCAGAUAUCAGGAGGAACACCGAUGGCGAAGGCAGGUCACUGGGCCGCAACUGACGCU
rnacentral:rRNA from 1 species